CCUACGGGAGGCUGCAGUGGGGAAUAUUGGACAAUGGGGGCAACCCUGAUCCAGCCAUGCCGCGUGUGUGAAGAAGGCCCUCGGGUUGUAAAGCACUUUCAGUGAGGAAGAACGCCUGGUGGUUAAUACCCAUCAGGAAAGACAUCACUCACAGAAGAAGCACCGGCUAACUCCGUGCCAGCAGCCGCGGUAAUACGGAGGGUGCGAGCGUUAAUCGGAAUUACUGGGCGUAAAGCGCGCGUAGGUGGCUUGAUAAGCCGGUUGUGAAAGCCCCGGGCUCAACCUGGGAACGGCAUCCGGAACUGUCAAGCUAGAGUGCAGGAGAGGAAGGUAGAAUUCCCGGUGUAGCGGUGAAAUGCGUAGAGAUCGGGAGGAAUACCAGUGGCGAAGGCGGCCUUCUGGACUGAUACUGACACUGAGGUGCGAAAGCGUGGGUAGCAAACAGGAUUAGAUACCCCUGUAGUC
rnacentral:rRNA from 1 species